rnacentral:rRNA from 1 species
GAUGAACGCUGGCGGCGUGCUUAACACAUGCAAGUCGAACGGUGAAGGCGGAGCUUGCUCUGCUGGAUCAGUGGCGAACGGGUGAGUAACACGUGAGCAAUCUGCCCCUGACUCUGGGAUAAGCGCUGGAAACGGCGUCUAAUACUGGAUACGAGCUGCGAAGGCAUCUUCAGCAGCUGGAAAGAACUUCGGUCAGGGAUGAGCUCGCGGCCUAUCAGCUUGUUGGUGAGGUAACGGCUCACCAAGGCGUCGACGGGUAGCCGGCCUGAGAGGGUGACCGGCCACACUGGGACUGAGACACGGCCCUGACUCCUACGGGAGGCAGCAGUGGGGAAUAUUGCACAAUGGGCGAAAGCCUGAUGCAGCAACGCCGCGUGAGGGACGACGGCCUUCGGGUUGUAAACCUCUUUUAGCAGGGAAGAAGCGAAAGUGACGGUACCUGCAGAAAAAGCGCCGGCUAACUACGUG